UCUAUCUAUCGGACGAUCUAUCAUAUCCAUAUAUCUCAUAUCUAUAACCAGAUGUAGCAGAGCUGCCAUAGUGACCGGACACAUCUCGCGGCGCUGUCACAAUGUGUUACUAUUCUUUUCCAUUACACAGAAGGUUCCGGUGGAUCUCGUACAUCAUCAUCACAAUGAGAAAGCAUAAAAGCCUCCGUGAGUCAGGGACCGGGGGUCAGUGCCAGGUCUGCUCCAUCUGUGUCUUCCUCGCGCGGUCGAGCACUUCAUGGAUCCCUUGUCGACAGAGGCCAUGUCUAUAUUUAGUGGAAGGUCGUGCGCAGAGGUCAGAGGUCACAGCCAGCGUUUGUACGGACGUUAUGUAAUGAAAUGCGUAAUGGGCAGAAAGAAUGACAAAAAUGUUCACCCGACGGAAUGCAAAACACGUGGCGCAUACCUACACGUCACCUGUGACCUCCCACCACGUGGAGAACAUCUCGGAAGACGAAACCUCACCGAAACUAUUAGUAGCCAUGAAUCUGAAGAUGAUGUCUUCAAGUCUUAAUCACGUAAAGAUGUUUGAUGGCUGGAACAGCUCAGGAGGUCUAUACUGCCCGCU